CGGGAUGUAGCGCAGUUUGGUAGCGCACUUCGUUCGGGACGAAGGGGCCGCAGGUUCAAAUCCUGUCAUCCCGA
rnacentral:tRNA from 1 species